ACCUUUGGAUUUAAAUUAUGAAGUUGUGCUCACACUAUAGAACUCGGCUAUGCCCUUGAGCACAGUAGAUAAACAAAUAACAUAAUACACAUCCACCACAGAUAAAGGUAUAAGCAAAUAACAUAAUACACAUCCACCACAGAUAAAGGUAUAAGCAAAUAACAUAAUACACAUCCACCACAGAUAAAGGUAUAAGCAAAUAACAUAAUACACAUCCACCACAGAUAAAGGUAUAAGCAAAUAACAUAAUACACAUCCACCACAGAUAAAGGUAUAAGCAAAUAACAUAAUACACAUCCACCACAGAUAAAGGUAUAAGCAAAUAACAUAAUACAUAUCCACCACAGUUAAAG